CCCACACUGGCACUGAGAUACGGGCCAGACUCCUACGGGAGGCAGCAGUAAGGGAUAUUGCGCAAUGGACGAAAGUCAGACGCAGCGACGCCGCGUGGGCGAUGAAGGCCUUCGGGUUGUAAAGCCCUUUUAUGGGGGAAGAGAAAAAGGACGGUACCCCAGGAAUAAGUCCCGGCUAACUACGUGCCAGCAGCCGCGGUAAAACGUAGGGGACAAGCGUUAUCCGGAUUCACUGGGCGUAAAGAGCGUUGAGGCGGUUCCGUAAGUUGGGCGUGAAAGCUCCGGGCUUAACUCGGAGAUGUCGUUCAAUACUGCGGGGCUUGAGGACAGCAGAGGAAGGUGGAAUUCCCGGUGUAGUGGUGAAAUGCGUAGAUAUCGGGAGGAACACCCGUGGCGAAGGCGGCCUUCUGGGCUGUUCCUGACGCUGAAGGCGAAAGCUAGGGGAGCGAACGGGAUUAGAUACCCCGGUAGUCCUAGCUGUAAACGAUGGAUGCUGGGUGUGGGGGGUGUAAAUUCCCUCUGUGCCGAAGCAAACGCGUUAAGCAUCCCGCCUGGGGACUACGGCCGCAAGGCUAAAACUCAAACGAAUUGACGGGGGCCCGCACAAGCAGCGGAGCGUGUGGUUUAAUUCGAUGCUACACGAAGAACCUUACCUGGGUUUGACAUGCACGUGGUAGGGAACCGAAAGGGGACCGACCUUCGGGAGCGUGCACAGGUGCUGCAUGGCUGUCGUCAGCUCGUGCCGUGAGGUGUCGGGUUAAGUCCCGUAACGAGCGCAACCCUUGCCCUUAGUUACAAGUGUCUAAGGGGACUGCCCGGGACAACUGGGAGGAAGGUGGGGAUGACGUCAAGUCAGCAUGGCCUUUAUAUCCAGGGCUACACACACGCUACAAUGGCCGGUACAAUAGGUUGCGAAGUCGUGAGGCGGAGCCAAUCCUCAAAGCCGGUCUCAGUUCGAAUUGCAGUCUGCAACUCGACUGCAUGAAGCUGGAGUUGCUAGUAAUCGCAGGUCAGCUAUACUGCGGUGAUACGUUCCCGGGCCUUGUACACACCGCCCGUCACGUCAUGGAAGCUGGCAACGCCUGAAGCCGGUGAGCUAACCCGAAGGGGAGCAGCCGUCGAGGUGGGGCUGUAACUGGGACGAAGUC
rnacentral:rRNA from 1 species